GUAAAUAUAGUUUAACAAAAACAUUAGAUUGUGAAUCUAAUAAUAAAAGUCCGAGCCUUUUUAUUUACC
rnacentral:tRNA from 1 species